UGAUCAUGGCUCAGAGCGAACGCUGGCGGCAGGCCUAACACAUGCAAGUCGAACGGACCCUUCGGGGUUAGUGGCGGACGGGUGAGUAACACGUGGGAACGUGCCUUUAGGUUCGGAAUAGCUCCUGGAAACGGGUGGUAAUGCCGAAUGUGCCCUUCGGGGGAAAGAUUUAUCGCCUUUAGAGCGGCCCGCGUCUGAUUAGCUAGUUGGUGAGGUAAUGGCUCACCAAGGCGACGAUCAGUAGCUGGUCUGAGAGGAUGACCAGCCACACUGGGACUGGGACACGGCCCAGACUCCUACGGGAGGCAGCAGUGGGGAAUCUUGCGCAAUGGGCGAAAGCCUGACGCAGCCAUGCCGCGUGAAUGAUGAAGGUCUUAGGAUUGUAAAAUUCUUUCACCGGGGACGAUAAUGACGGUACCCGGAGAAGAAGCCCCGGCUAACUUCGUGCCAGCAGCCGCGGUAAUACGAAGGGGGCUAGCGUUGCUCGGAAUUACUGGGCGUAAAGGGCGCGUAGGCGGAUCGUUAAGUCAGAGGUGAAAUCCCGGAGCUCAACUUCGGAACUGCCUUUGAUACUGGCGAUCUUGAGUGUGAGAGAGGUAUGUG
rnacentral:rRNA from 1 species